AUCCUUUUUUUUUUCAUGGUUCAUUCUGGAAGCCCCUGUUGCUGUUAGCAAACACUAAGUGGAAGGAGAAAUGCACCAAGUUUCAUUAUUCAAAGGGAAGGAGAAAUGGUAAUAUGAAUUUCAUUAGUUUGUAUAACAAUGAUGUUUUUUUUUUUCCUGAAUCAUGUCUAAUAGCCUCACAAAUUUUUUUAUGAACACUAAAUUCAUAACAUUGAUCCCAAGAAGAACAAGAGGAAAGAAAAUUGCUAUUAAAUCCUGCAACAAUUGAGAAUUCCAUUUGAUCCCUAUUACUUUUAUACUUUGUGAAGUCCAUUACUUUAAAGUGAAUGUAACAAUUUUCUUUUUGCCUGUUUUUGUUAAAGUAUGUGUUCUUAGUUCUUUAUCUUGUCUGGAGAUUGUUAUGACUGUUACUGACAAUAUCUGUUCUGGUAGCUGAAAAUUGGCCUUCUUUAUGGAGAGUUCAAUUCCAGCUCAAGUAGCAGGUUUCUUCAACCUGCAUAUGAUGUGCAACAUUUAUUGCUACCUCAGAGUAGACUGCCUUAGAAAUGCCGUUGCUACUCGUUCUAGCCACUUGCGUGAGCUUACAAAUGAUAAGUUUGAUUCAAAUUGGGAAAUUGCAAAUUAGUACUACAAAAGCAUGGCAAUGGUGCAGCAGCUACAUCAGAUUCAUCUGAAUUUCCACGAAGAUUUGGAUAUAGAACAAGUAAGCUUUUGGCAUUGCAGAUCGCUAGAUAUAUGCCAACUGAUCAGCUUCUUUCCUCAACCAUCUGAUUAUAAUACUGUGGGAUCAACGAUUUGUUGCUUAUGGCUGUGCUGAGCACCUGAAGAAAUUGAAGAAACAUGCAUCUUCAUUAAAAGAAUUAGACCAAGGCAGUGAAACAAGUGUUCUGGCACAUAAAUGUAUGUGGCUACAAAAGCAACUAUUUGACAGCUUGUGCUCUAUGUCAAAGGACACAUCCUUGCUGCUGAAGACAGUUGAAAAAUACUCAUUUAAAUACUUGCAACAGUGUGAAGGCUGAAGUCAACAAAAUCAACUUUUCUAACAAUUUUGGGGCCUUUUGGAUUAUAGAAGCAUGGAAAUGAAAUGUUGAAUUGGAAUCGAAAUUGAAAUGUGUACUAGAAAAAAAGGAAAAGAUUAUUAUGUGUGUGAAUCAUUCUAUUGUCUUCUUCUUUUAUUUGUGUAAUUAUCUAGCAUAUAAUACAAGUAGAUUACAUUCCCCACUCUCUCUCUCUCAUACAAUGAACAAAGGGGUUUUAAAUUGUUCUUAAAAUUCUGUCCUAAAAUCUGACCAUUGGCAACAUUAAUA